AACGAACGCUGGCGGCAUGGAUUAGGCAUGCAAGUCGAACGGUGUAGCAAUACACAGUGGCGGAAGGGUGAGGAACACGUGAAUAAUCUACCUCUAAGUUGGGAAUAACUUCCCGAAAGGGAAGCUAACACCGAACGUGGUUGUUUUCUCGCAUGUGAGAACAACUAAAAAUUUAUUGCUUGGAGAUGAGUUCGCGUCCCAUUAGCUAGUUGGUGAGGUAACGGCUCACCAAGGCCGAGAUGGGUAGCUGGUCUGAGAGGAUGAUCAGCCACACUGGGACUGAGACACUGCCCAGACUCCUACGGGAGGCUGCAGUCGAGAAUCUUUUGCAAUGCGCGAAAGCGUGACAAAGCAAUGCCGCGUGCCGGAUGAAGGUCUUCGGAUUGUAAACGGCUGUCACCCGGGACGAAAAAUGACGGUACCGGGGGAGGAAGCCACGGCUAACUACGUGCCAGCAGCCGCGGUAAUACGUAGGUGGCGAGCGUUGUUCGGAUUUAUUGGCGUAAAGGGUUCGUAAGGUGGUU
rnacentral:rRNA from 1 species